GACGAACGCUGGCGGCGUGCCUAAUACAUGCAAGUUGAGCGCUGAAGGUUGGUACUUGUACCAACUGGAUGAGCAGCGAACGGGUGAGUAACGCGUGGGGAAUCUGCCUUUGAGCGGGGGACAACAUUUGGAAACGAAUGCUAAUACCGCAUAAAAACUUUAAACACAAGUUUUAAGUUUGAAAGAUGCAAUUGCAUCACUCAAAGAUGAUCCCGCGUUGUAUUAGCUAGUUGGUGAGGUAAAGGCUCACCAAGGCGAUGAUACAUAGCCGACCUGAGAGGGUGAUCGGCCACAUUGGGACUGAGACACGGCCCAAACUCCUACGGGAGGCAGCAGUAGGGAAUCUUCGGCGAUGGACGAAAGUCUGACCGAGCAACGCCGCGUGAGUGAAGAAGGUUGUCGGAUCGUAAAACUCUGUUGGUAGAGAAGAACGUUGGUGAGAGUGGAAAGCUCAUCAAGUGACGGUAACUACCCAGAAAGGGACGGCUAACUACGUG
rnacentral:rRNA from 1 species